AUGCAUCUUUGUACUAUGAUAUUAAGUUUCAUACGUUUGUGGUUUCCGAACGUAAUAUGCGGGCUACACAUUGAGCUGCCAAGUGUCCUGGAGAACUCAGUGCUCAUCAUGUCCAAGUCAGGCAUAGGAUUGGCCAUGCUCAGUCCUGCGUGCGAGCUGAGUUUUGCAAUGUUGGAUUUGGCCCUGAAUUUCACCUUCAGUCCGUCUGACAUGGCAAUUGGCUCCAUCGUCGCCGGCCUCAAUGUUCACAUGCUCCAUCUUGCUAUCAUACCGCCACAUAGCCCUCCUUACUCAGUAAUGGCCACCUUUGUUACUUUUCUGUACUCAAGCACAUGA
rnacentral:rRNA from 1 species